UUAUUGGGAUUAAUGCCCCAUAGUAUAUAUUAUUCGCAUGUUUGAUAUAUUAAAGUUCCAACGGCAAAAGAUGAGCAUGCGUCCCAUUAGUUAGUUGGUAAGGUAACGGCUUACCAAGACGAUGAUGGGUAGGGGUCCUGAGAGGGAGAUCCCCCACACUGGUACUGAGACACGGACCAGACUCCUACGGGAGGCAGCAGUGAGGAAUAUUGGCCAAUGGGCGCAAGCCUGAACCAGCCAUGCCGCGCGCAGGAAGACGCAUCUAUGGUGUGUAAACUGCUUUUGCACGGGAAGAAAC
rnacentral:rRNA from 1 species